rnacentral:tRNA from 1 species
GGCCCGUUCGUCAAGCGGUAAGACACAGCCCUUUCACGGCUGGCUCAGGGGUUCGAUUCCCCUACGGGUCA